AUUGAACGCUGGCGGCAGGCCUAACACAUGCAAGUCGAACGAGUGGCGGACGGGUGAGUAAUGUCUGGGAAACUGGCCGAUGGCGGGGGAUAACUACUGGAAACGGUAGCUAAUACCGCAUACCAUCGGAUGUGCCCAGAUGGGAUUAGCUAGUUGGUGGGGUAAAGGCCUACCAAGGCGACGAUCCGUAACUGGUCUGAGAGGAUGAGCAGGCACACUGGAACUGAGAGACGGUCCAGACUCCUACGGGAUGGAGCAGAGGGGAAUAUUGGACAAUGGGCGAAAACCUGAUCCAGCCAUGGCGCGUGUGUGAAGAAGGUCUUCGGAUUGUAAAGCACUUUAAGUUGGGAGGCGUUACCAACAGAAUAAGCACCGGCUAACUACGUGCCAGCAGCCGCGGUAAUUC
rnacentral:rRNA from 1 species